ensembl:snRNA U6 U6 spliceosomal RNA
UUGCUUCAGUAGCACAUACACUAAAAUUAAAAUGACACAGAGAGGAUUAGCAUAGUUUCUGCCCAAGGAUUACACACAAAUUCAUGAAGUUUCCAUAUUUUGU